GACCAACUGGGGGAUGUUUCAAGGACUGUCUAACCUGAGAAUGGUGACACCAAAAGCUCAAUCUCAGGUCCGUCAGCCCAUGAGACGUUCCUUCAAGAACA
rnacentral:pre_miRNA from 11 species